CCUACGGGAGGCAGCAGUGGGGAAUAUUGCACAAUGGGCGAAACCCUGAUGCAGCGACGUCGCGUGCGUGAAGACGUAUCUCGGUAUGUAAAGCUCUAUCAGUACGGAAGAAAAUGACGGUACCUGACUAAGUAGCCCCGGCUAACUACGUGCCAGCAGCCGUGGUGAAACGUAUGGGGCAAGCGUUAUCCGGAUUUACUGGGUGUAAAGGGAGUGUAGGUGGGAUGGUAAGCCAGAAGUGAAAACCCGGGGCUCAACCCCGCGGAUUGCUUUUGGAACUAUCAGGCUUGAGUGCUGGUGGGGUAAGCGGAAUUCCUAGUGUAGCGGUGAAAUGCGUAGAUAUUAGGAGGAACACCGGUUGCGAAGGCAGCUUACUGGACAGAAACUGACACUGAGGCUCGAAAGCGUGGGGAGCGAACAGGAUUAGAUACCCUGGUAGUC
rnacentral:rRNA from 1 species